AUUUACCCAGGAGCAAAAGAAGCGGAGGGAAGCAACACAGCGCAGCGUGACUACGUGCUUGAUCUGUCUCCUCCUAACGGGCAUGCAGAACCCCAGCUUUUAAGUUGGUCUCCGCAGAGGACAACUGCAUUCUCCAGCCUCCUGUACAGCAGAGAGUGCCAUGUGACUAAGACCAAGUUCUAACCAGUGGGAUCAAAGCAGGGAAGUGUUGCCUUCUUUGCCCCUUCCUGCUGGCUGGAAUAUGACAAAACGGCUGCAGCAUGAGCAACCUUCUUGGGCCCUGAGGUGGAAGCCACCUGUUGGUUGACCGACCAGAUGGUGGAGUGACCAGAUAGAAGGGGCCUGGUGAUUGUGGAUUCUGCCACACUACCUCUGGUCCCCUAUACCUAUGUGAAAGGAAAAGAAAUGUCUGCCAUGUUCGUGUGUGUGUGUGUGUGUGUAGUGUGUGUGUGUGUGUGUGUGUCUGCCAUGUUUAAGCCACUAUAACU
rnacentral:lncRNA from 1 species